AGUGAACGCUGGCGGUAGGCCUAACACAUGCAAGUCGAACGGCAGCACAGUAAGAGCUUGCUCUUACGGGUGGCGAGUGGCGGACGGGUGAGGAAUACAUCGGAAUCUACUUUUUCGUGGGGGAUAACGUAGGGAAACUUACGCUAAUACCGCAUACGACCUACGGGUGAAAGCAGGGGAUCUUCGGACCUUGCGCGAUUGAAUGAGCCGAUGUCGGAUUAGAUAGUUGGCGGGGUAAAGGCCCACCAAGACGACGAUCCGUAGCUGGUCUGAGAGGAUGAUCAGCCACACUGGAACUGAGACACGAUCCGGACUCCUACGGGAGGCAGCAGUGGGGAAUAUUGGACAAUGGGCGCAAGCCUGAUCCAGCCAUACCGCGUGUGUGAAGAAGGCCUUCGGGUUGUAAAGCCCUUUUGUUGGGAAAGAAAAGCAGCAGGUUAAUACCCCGCUGUUCUGACGGUACCCAAAGAAUAAGCACCGGCUAACUUCGUG
rnacentral:rRNA from 1 species